AGCUCUGUAAGCGUAUACCAAAGUUGUUGCAGUUAAAACGCUCGUAGUCGGACCUUGGCGGGCGGGCUGGGGCGUCUUUACGGACGGAUCCAGGACCGGCCGCCUUUGUGGAUGGGGGCCCGGCGUCGCUUCAGUGCGUCGGCGUGGUCGCUGCCACCGUUUACUGUGAGAAAAUUAGAGUGUUCAAAGCGGGCGUUUGCCAUGAAUACAUUAGCAUGGAAUAAUAGAAUAGGACCUGUCUCCUAUUUUGUUGGUUUGUGAGGAACGGGUAAUGAUUAAGAGGGACGGUUGGGGGCAUUUGUAUUCCGGCGUCAGAGGUGAAAUUCUUGGAUUGUCGGAAGACAAACGGCUGCGAAAGCGUCUGCCAAGGACGUUUUCA
rnacentral:rRNA from 1 species